GCGCUGGUAGCUCAGUGGUAGAGCAAAGGCCUUUUAAGCCUGUGGUCGCGGGUUCGAUCCCCGCUCGGCGCACCA
rnacentral:tRNA from 1 species